CAGUAGCCGCGGUAAUACAGAGGGUGCGAGCGUUAAUUGGAUUUACUGGGCGUAAAGCGUGCGUAGGCGGCUUUUUAAGUCGGAUGUGAAAUCCCUGAGCUUAACUUAGGAAUUGCAUUCGAUACUGGGAAGCUAGAGUAUGGGAGAGGAUGGUAGAAUUCCAGGUGUAGCGGUGAAAUGCGUAGAGAUCUGGAGGAAUACCGAUGGCGAAGGCAGCCAUCAGGCCUAAUACUGACGCUGAGGUACGAAAGCAUGGGGAGCAAACAGGAUUAGAUACCCCGGUAGUCCCUGUCUCUAUACC
rnacentral:rRNA from 1 species